rnacentral:lncRNA from 1 species
GCUGUGGUAUUUAAAUCGGGCUCGUUUUGGCGUUUCAAACAUGCACACACGAUAUUUGUGAAGCAGAAAAAAACAAAAAGAAGAAGAAACAGUGACGGCUUUUUAUUUCUCCUGCAGGUUUGUGUCACUCCUCUGAUCGGACUGAGCCAACACCUCCUCCCUCUCUCCUCCAUCAGCCCGCCUCUGUCUCUCAUCCCUCCUCUCUCUCUCUCUCUCUCUCUCCCUCCCUCCCUCUCUCUCCCCCUCUCGCUCUCUCUCUCUCUCUGCUGGAACGCACGGACCUCCGCCGCUGUCCAGGGAUAUUACUCUCGCUUUCUCCGUCUGUGCCGCUGCAGAACGGACCGUAAAGCUGCUGCAUGCUCGCCGCCCGCCUCUUCCUUCGCCCGCCAGACCGAGACCCCGAUCAAAAGCUCGACUUCUGAGGUUUCUUGCUUUGGCCUGUGGAGAAAGAACCGUUCGCUGGGACAGCGUCUGUUUCCCCGCUCGAGUGGACACACGGAAAUCAGACCCGACUGGACCGCGACACGUGCAGUGCAGACCGCCGACAAAACUACAGUUUUACUCACCUUUGGGAAAAAUAUAGCUGAAGAUUCAUCAUUUUUAAAAGGACCCUUGCUGAUACGUCUAAAGAACUUCAUAAUCAUCACAUAAUCGAAUUCAGAACCAUCCAGGAGGCUCAGCUGAAGCUCGACCCAGCUCGUCCUCCACCGGGCAGGACGUCUCCGCCUUCCUCCCUCUGGAGUUAAUCUGCUAAAGUAGAGGUGAGUGAGCUAAUUUACACGUUUUGUCCACUAUGAGAACACACACAUCAUAGCGUAGAUCAGCUGUCAUUUUGACUUUUAUACAGUUCUAGUGAGGCAUGGUGUUUCUAAUAAGCCCGGUGCUUUGGGCUGGGUUUGACAGGGCAGCCUGCCUCAGCUGAUGGCUCCCCCACUGAAGCUCCUUUCAGCAAGAGCACUUGACAGCACCCAGUGGCAUUUCAGUGUGAAAAGCAGCGAUAUGUGAAGGAUUCCUUUUUUUUUUUUUUCUUAAAUGAUU